rnacentral:rRNA from 1 species
GACGAACGCUGGCGGCGUGCUUAACACAUGCAAGUCGAGCGAUGAAGUUCCUUCGGGAAUGGAUUAGCGGCGGACGGGUGAGUAACACGUGGGUAACCUGCCUCAUAGAGGGGAAUAGCCUUCCGAAAGGAAGAUUAAUACCGCAUAAGAUUGUAGUUUCGCAUGAAACAGCAAUUAAAGGAGUAAUCCGCUAUGAGAUGGACCCGCGUCGCAUUAGCUAGUUGGUGAGGUAACGGCUCACCAAGGCGACGAUGCGUAGCCGACCUGAGAGGGUGAUCGGCCACAUUGGGACUGAGACACGGCCCAGACUCCUACGGGAGGCAGCAGUGGGAAAUAUUGCACAAUGGGGGAAACCCUGAUGCAGCAACGCCGCGUGAGUGAUGACGGUCUUCGGAUUGUAAAACUCUGUCUUCAGGGACGAUAAUGACGGUACCUCCAGAAGCAGCCACGGCUAACUUCGUGCCAGCCGCCGCAGUAAAAC